AACGAACGCUGGCGGCAUGCCUAACACAUGCAAGUCGAACGAGACCUUCGGGUCUAGUGGCGCACGGGUGCGUAACGCGUGGGAACCUGCCCUUAGGUUCGGAAUAACUCCCCGAAAGGGGUGCUAAUACCGGAUAAUGUCUUCGGACCAAAGAUUUAUCGCCUUUGGAUGGGCCCGCGUUGGAUUAGCUAGUUGGUAGGGUAAAAGCCUACCAAGGCGACGAUCCAUAGCUGGUCUGAGAGGAUGAUCAGCCACACUGGGACUGAGACACGGCCCAGACUGCUACGGGAGGCAGCAAUGGGUGGUAUAGGACAGUGGGCGAGAGCCUGAUCCAGCCAUGCCGCGUGAGUGAUGAAUGACUUAGGGUUGUAAAGCUCGUUUUCCCGGGAUGAUAAUGACAGUACCGGGCGAAUAAGCACCGGCUAACUCCGUC
rnacentral:rRNA from 1 species